AUCAUUAACUUCAGAUUACUGCUCUUCCUUUCCCCAGCAACUCAAAGAACUGACUUUGGACGAGGCCUGCUCCCAGGUCACAUGUAGCUGUGAACACACAAAUGCUUGUGUUGACAUAAGCAGAGAGGCAAGAGUGGAAGCAGGGCUGUUCCUCUUGGCAGCAGCCUCCAGCAGCUUGCUGAGUGCACCGAUAAAGUAAACCAAUAUACAACAAUAAAACAGAACAAGAAUCCCUCCAGGGAAGCCUGGGAGAUAAGAGCUUCUGGGCCCUUAACAAAAUUAUUUAAAAGGCCUAAUAACCCAGAGCCCUGUGGGUCUGUAUGUCAGCUCAUAGCUGUCACUCCGAAUUCCCAAAGAGGGACUGUUGAGCCUGGCUGGAACUGCAUCCCACAAACACCGCAUCCUGUCCCUGUAGCAAAGCCAGAGUGCACCGAGAGCAUCAGCCACGGACACGGGAACCAACACUAAAAUAUCACAGGUGAAUGAAGCAGGACCUCAGGGUGUGAAAGGACAGAUCCUUGCGGCAUCACCCUUUGGCUCCACCUAAGGCAAAGUGACAGAGAAGCCUCGAGCAGGAGCCACCACUCAGCUGCCUACUAGAGCCAAGGCAUUUUGUACAAGAGACCAGACAUGGAGAAUUGACAGGAAAACAAAAGGACAUUUCCCAGCCUUCCAAACACUUUGCAACAGCAGAGAAGAGCUUGGCUUGCCCAGGGCAUGGAAAAGGAGGCCAGUACUACUAUCCUUGAGAAAGCCAACACAAACUGAAAAAGUCAGACAGGACAACUGUCUCCAGCAAGGCUGGAGUCCAUGCAGCCAUUUAUGAGGAAUGCACCAUGGAACACAGGCAUGGUGUUCAACACAUUCAAGAGUAACAAAUAAAACCAAUGCACUGCCUGCAACAGGCAGCAUCUCUAGUUCAUUUGCCAUGAUAAGUAAUUGACAAUUCCGUGUCUCCCAACCUGUAGUAGUGCAGAUGUUUGGUCACUUCUAAGAGAGCCUGAAUAUACAAACAUGGGCAUUGAAGCAGGCUUUUGCAUUUCCUGAAAACACAGUUAAGGAUUUAGGGGAAUGCAGUUAAGGAUUUAGGGGAAUGCAUCAUGGAUGUAAAAGGAAUAAUUACCAGUCCUUAUGUACCUGCAGUAGCAGAAGGCAGAAUGCUAUGAACAGGCAGAUUCUCAGAUUCUUCCCCAUCCUGCACUCCUGUUGUGGAAAGAGCAGUACAGACAUUUGUCCUACACAGCACUGCAGAUUUUAACAGGACAGCAGGUGGGAGAAAGACAGGUCCAACUGGAAGCCUAACAGGACAUUAACAAACUUGUAAGUGACAGGCUAAAUAGGCUGUGGGACCAGACUCUUCCUGUUGCUUGAGGGCUCCCACAUGAUGCUCAAACUCAGCUGGUGCAAACUAAAUUUGCUCCACUGUCUGCCAGAGCUGUAUCAACUUACUGCAGUAAAGGGUGAAGGUGCUCAGCUCUGGGACACCACUGACAGGCCAUCAGCUGCACAGAAAUUUCAUUCUAGGGAAAAACAAAGAAACAAAGCAAAAAAACCAAACCAAACCAAACCAAAACAAAAAACAACAACAACAACAAAAAAAAACCAACCAAACAAAAAACCUAAUGAACAAAAUAAACCCAAUGAACAAAAUAAACCCAAAACAAAACAAAGAAACAAAACAAAACAAACAACAGGAGGGGAAAACACUGCGAAAAAGGAAGGCCAGGAUGAAAUCAGGCUUAGGAAGAAAUACCUCUCUGUUCUGAAACAGCCUAGAAAAGGGGAAACUAUAGAAACUCCCUUCACAGUGCAUUCUAUCAUAACACACAUGAACUGCAUCACUCAGGAUCAUUUCUCCCAGCCAUUCCAAACCUGGUUUGGUUACACAUCAUCUCCCCAGGCCAGGCUCUCCUAAUAACAGAAUAAAAAUAUUUUGCAUUUUUCCAAUCCUUUUCCUUUCCCCUUGGGGCCCAGUUCAAAGCUCUUUUAUGUCAUUCUGACAGCACAAUAUGAUUUUAGGCAGAUAAACCCAGCCCAUUAAAAGAUACACCCUGUGCAAGACAUUUUGCUGGCACUGGAAAGUUGGCAGUGCAAAAGAUUUGCAGUUCCUUGCCUGCAAGUGAGACCAGG